GAAGAGGUAAAGAAAAAGAGGGCGAUACCAGACUGUAGUACCGGGAUGCAGCCUCACUGGGGAAACUAAGAAGAGAAGGGGGCCGGGACCCACGUAGGAAGGAUUUAGAUGAGCCAAUCAGAAGUUUUGGGUGAGUGUAUAGACAUAAUGGGUGUGAGUAUAACAAUUUGGGGUGUGCUUGUAGCUUGAGCCAAAAUUAAAUCAUCUAAUCUAAAAGGGUUUAAUAAUCUAAAGAAAUUCCAC
rnacentral:lncRNA from 1 species